UGGCGACCGGCGCACGGGUGAGUAACGCGUAUGCAACUUACCUAUCAGAGGGGGAUAACCCGGCGAAAGUCGGACUAAUACCGCAUGAAGCAGGGGCCCCGCAUGGGGAUAUUUGCUAAAGAUUCAUCGCUGAUAGAUAGGCAUGCGUUCCAUUAGGCAGUUGGCGGGGUAACGGCCCACCAAACCGACGAUGGAUAGGGGUUCUGAGAGGAAGGUCCCCCACAUUGGUACUGAGACACGGACCAAACUCCUACGGGAGGCAGCAGUGAGGAAUAUUGGUCAAUGGCCGAGAGGCUGAACCAGCCAAGUCGCGUGAGGGAUGAAGGUUCUAUGGAUCGUAAACCUCUUUUAUAAGGGAAUAAAGUGCGGGACGUGUCCCGUUUUGUGUGUACCUUAUGAAUAAGGAUCGGCUAACUCCGUGCCAGCAGCCGCGGUAAUACGGAGGAUCCGAGCGUUAUCCGGAUUUAUUGGGUUUAAAGGGUGCGUAGGCGGCCUUUUAAGUCAGCGGUGAAAGUCUGUGGCUCAACCAUAGAAUUGCCGUUGAAACUGGGGGGCUUGAGUAUGUUUGAGGCAGGCGGAAUGCGUGGUGUAGCGGUGAAAUGCAUAGAUAUCACGCAG
rnacentral:rRNA from 1 species